ensembl:lncRNA
CAAAUACUGUCAGCCUCUUAAAAUACUGUAGGCAAGUUCUGAUUAUGUUUUUCCCUCUACUCUGUAAUUAUUAUUAUUAUAUGCCAUACACGGCGGUGUAUAGCUAGUAAAAUGCACACAACCAAAACCAAAAUAAAUGAAAGCAUCGCUUCCAUUUGUACCAUUGAUUUAGCACCUGGGAUUUAGCAUAGUUUUAUGUACUCUCUUAUAUGUAAGAGAGGAAGAUGAAGGAAUCAUAAGAGAGUAUGUGAAGCAGUGGAGCUGUACGAUCAGUGAUCUAUUAGUCUACGUGUGAUUAGUGUACUGCUUUAGGUGAAGGACCUUAAGAAAACACUUGGCAAUCCUUCUGAAAUGUAAUCUCAUUAGAUAGCUCAUGAAAAGAAAUGCACUGUAAAACUAAGCACUGUUUGGAUCUCUGUAAAGAUUCUUAGGCUAUCACUUUCUAUGGCUUGCAAGAACCCACAAAGUAAUGCUGAUGUGUUCUUUUCUUAGAGGCAGCCUGGCUUUACCAACACGAGUUUGAAACAGUGAAGGGAACUGAACCGACGUCCUGCGCUGUUCCACAAAAGCACUACCUUCACAUCUCCCUCCCAUCACAAACUCCAGCAUGUUUUACUUCUCAGAGUAUCACAUUUCAAUACAAACUGGAGCUACUGCUACUUAUUCAGCAUACAUUCCUGAUUUUGUGUUCACUGAGUUCAUCAGGCACUCAUGCGAUAGUGUCUUAUUUUGUGGCUGUUGCACUGUGUUCCCAGGUGCUAUGUCAAUAAUACAAGUCAAUAAGGAAAUCUUAAUCAGGCUCCAUAAUUUUUGUGUCGCUCAACUGCAAAAAUGGUGUGGGCUUUUGUUACUGUGUAAGACAAAAGGAGCACAGAAUGGGAAGGAAAAGGGAAUAUCCUGACACACCAUUUAGCACGCAUAACUAUUUGUGGAAUUAAGAUCUUGACAUUUUUUUCAUGUUUUCCAUACAGGCUGAAGGGGAAGAAGCAUUUCAGCGACAUUAUUUCAAGAUUUUACUCACAAAGUGUUUGAAGGUGUCUGGAGAAAGAGGAGAAAUUAGUCUGCACUGAAGAGGAAGGCCACUUAGAUGAAAGUGGGAGAACGCAGCACUACAGACAUUAAGAUAAGAUGCUUAGAAAAAGCUUCUUCUCUUCUUGAGGAAGGGAAGAACGUAAAAAGCUGCUUCAGUAUUCUGCAGAACACCUGGUUCUUUGAUUCAUUUCCUGGAUGCCAAAGAUCACAAGAAUAUAAAUCCUUAUUGACUUGUGGGGAGUUAAGAUUAUACAUGGCCCCAUUAAAAGAGGCAAACUGAGAGCACACACAGAUGCAGCUCUUUAUAAAGUCAGGCACCUUGAUGUCUGCUCAGAGGCUCUGUGCUUCCAGCCCUGCUACUGCUGCUGGCCCAGUGGAUGAAUCCAAAGCUCUUCUGAGCCAACAGGAUCGAAAUUCCACCUCAUGUUUCUGGAAAGGGGGAGGAGCCAGGCCACGCCACCGUACUCCUGCUAUCACCCACCAGGAUGCAAAGUGAGGACUGUUUUUUCAAAUGAUCUGUACAUUUCUGCUCAUACGCUGCUUAUAGCUUCUAUAUAUAGCUUUGCAUGGAAAGACUAGGAGGGAGACAAAAAAUAAGCUGCCUAAGUAGCUGAAAUUUUUGUUUGCUUGUAUGCAGAGGUCCAUCUCUUCUCCCAGGUAACAGCGAUAGGAUGAGAAGUAAUGGCUUUAAGUCGCACCAGGGGAGGUUCACGUUCAGUGUUAGGAACCAUUUCUUCUCAGAAGGAGGGGUGAGGCAGUGGCACAGGUGCACAGGGGGGUGGUGGAGUCACCGUCCCUGUAGGCAUUCGAUGACCACGCGGAUGUGGCAGUGAGGGACAUGGUUAGUGGGCUGGUGGGGGCCGGUCGGGGGUUGGACUAGAUGAUCUUAGCGGUCUUUUGUAACCUUAAUGAUACUGCGAUUCUAUCAUCAGAUUUUAAAUGAGAAAUGAUACGAGUGAAACUUUCCUUUGGGACUCCCACCCUCUCCAAAUUUCUUACGUGAAUGAGGGGACAAACUCUGAGGGUCCUCGUGUGUUGUGAUCAAGAGUCACAUACCAGACAACCAUCGUGGUUAUUACAGAGACAGGCGAAACAUCUUCUGUUGUAAUUGCACAGUUGUAAACAUACUGAUAGAAACAAGGCUACAUUUGAACAUACACAACUGCAAUUUUGUCAAGAAAUGAAAUAACCAAGAUGAAAUGAUUCUUUGGGUUAAUUAAUAGCGGCCAAAAAAAAACUGGGGAGGAGAUACUCGUAAACCUUUUUUUACUGGGCGCACGUAUUAUUUCGACUUGUUUCAUGAGAAAGAAUCACGUCUCUCCUGCUUUUGCUGAAGCCUAAGAUACGAUUCCUUCAGCGCUAAAGCAAAACUGCCUUCCAGAGCCGGGAGAUCGGUGGCGGCGAGAUGUGCCGGUCUGCCAGACGGGAGCAUCCGAGGUGACACGGGGCCGGGCUCCGGGAGCAGCCCGAGGCUGAAGCACCGACAAUUGCCGGUACCGCUGCGGACGGAGGGAACGCAGCGGCGGGCGGCCUUUCCCUCCUACGGGCAGGGCGUGCCGCGACUCGGGGACGGCACGGUGCGUUCCUGCCGCUUCCUUACAGCCCGCUGCUGCCAACUGAGAGAAUUUGGGAUAUUAAAGAAACGCCGUCUUUCACAAAGGCGUCAUCUCCUUAAGGCUGUUCUCCCGUUCUCGGCGGAUUUCAGCCCGAGGGAACGUUCAGCUCCCGCGCCCCUCACAGGCUCCGGACCCCCGCCGCGGGCCGCCUUCCCUCUGCGCCAUCUCACGCCUCGCCUCGCCUCGCCUCGCCUCGCCCCCAACCCUUCCGCCGG